GACGAACGCUGGCGGCGUGCUUAACACAUGCAAGUCGAACGAAGUGGCGAACGGGUGAGUAACGCGUAAUCAACCUGCCCUUCAGAGGGGGAUAACAGUUGGAAACGACUGCUAAUACCGCAUACUGAAGGAGGGGAGUGCGGCGGAUUAGCUAGUUGGAGGGUUACAGGCCCACCCAGGCGAUGAUGAGUAGCCGGUCUUGGAGGAUGAACGGCCACAUUGGGACUGAGACACGGCCCAGACUCCUACGGGAGGCAGCAGUGGGGAAUCUUCCGCAAUGGACGAAAGUCUGACGGAGCAACUCCGCGUGCGUGAUGACGGCCUUCGGGUUGUAAAGCUCUGUUAAUCGGGACGCGGUACCGGAAUAGAAAGCCACGGCUAACUACGUGCCAGCCGCCGCGGUAAUAC
rnacentral:rRNA from 1 species